GGGUUGGGCUGUUCGCCCAUUAAAGCGGUACGCGAGCUGGGUUCAGAACGUCGUGAGACAGUUCGGUCCCUAUCCGUCGUGGGCGUAGGAAAUUUGAGAGGAGCUGUCCUUAGUACGAGAGGACCGGGAUGGACGCACCGCUGGUGUACCAGUUGUUCUGCCAAGGGCAUAGCUGGGUAGCUAUGUGCGGAAGGGAUAAGUGCUGAAAGCAUCUAAGCAUGAAGCCCCCCUCAAGAUGAGAUUUCCCAUAGCGUAAGCUAGUAAGAUCCCUGAAAGAUGAUCAGGUUGAUAGGUUCGAGGUGGAAGCAUGGUGACAUGUGGAGCUGACGAAUACUAAUAGAUCGAGGACUUAACCAUAUAA
rnacentral:rRNA from 1 species